UGGGGAAUAUUGCACAAUGGGCGCAAGCCUGAUGCAGCCAUGCCGCGUGUAUGAAGAAGGCCUUCGGGUUGUAAAGUACUUUCAGCGGGGAGGAAGGCGAUGCGGUUAAUAACCGCGUCGAUUGACGUUACCCGCAGAAGAAGCACCGGCUAACUCCGUGCCAGCAGCCGCGGUAAUACGGAGGGUGCAAGCGGUAAUCGGAAUUACUGGGCGUAAAGCGCACGCAGGCGGUCUGUCAAGUCGGAUGUGAAAUCCCCGGGCUCAACCUGGGAACUGCAUCCGAAACUGGCAGGCUUGAGUCUCGUAGAGGGGGGUAGAAUUCCAGGUGUAGCGGUGAAAUGCGUAGAGAUCUGGAGGAAUACCGGUGGCGAAGGCGGCCUCCUGGACGAAGACUGACGCUCAGGUGCGAAAGCGUGGGGAGCAAACA
rnacentral:rRNA from 1 species